rnacentral:rRNA from 1 species
AGAGUUUGAUCCUGGCUCAGAAUCAACGCUGGCGGCGUGCCUAACACAUGCAAGUCGCACGAGAAAGGGACUUCGUUCCUGAGUAAAGUGGCGCACGGGUGAGUAACACGUGAAUGAUCUACCUCCGAGUGGGGAAUAACAUAGAGAAAUCUAAGCUAAUACCGCAUAAUACCCACGGGUCAAAGCAGCAAUGCGCUUGGAGAGGAGUUCGCGGCCGAUUAGCUAGUUGGCGGGGUAAUGGCCCACCAAGGCGAUGAUCGGUAUCCGGCCUGAGAGGGCGCACGGACACACUGGAACUGAAACACGGUCCAGACUCCUACGGGAGGCAGCAGUGGGGAAUAUUGGACAAUGGGGGCAACCCUGAUCCAGCAAUGCCGCGUGUGUGAAGAAAGUUUUCGGAAUGUAAAGUCCACUUUUGGACAGGGACGAUGAUGACGGUACUGACAGAAUAGCC